AUUGAACGCUGGCGGCAGGCCUAACACAUGCAAGUCGAGCGGGGUGAUGGUGCUUGCACUAUCACUUAGCGGCGGACGGGUGAGUAAUGCUUAGGAAUCUGCCUAUUAGUGGGGGACAACAUCUCGAAAGGGAUGCUAAUACCGCAUACGUCCUACGGGAGAAAGCAGGGGAUCACUUGUGACCUUGCGCUAAUAGAUGAGCCUAAGUCGGAUUAGCUAGUUGGUGGGGUAAGGCCUACCAAGGCGACGAUCUGUAGCGGGUCUGAGAGGAUGAUCCGCCACACUGGGACUGGGACAAGGCCCAGACUCCUACGGGAGGCAGCAGUGGGGAAUAUUGGACAAUGGGGGGAACCCUGAUCCAGCCAUGCCGCGUGUGUGAAGAAGGCCUUAUGGUUGUAAAGCACUUUAAGCGAGGAGGAGGCUCUUUUGGUUAAUACCCAAGAUGAGUGGACGUUACUCGCAGAAUAAGCACCGGCUAACUCUGUGCCAGCCGCCGCCGUAA
rnacentral:rRNA from 1 species